GAUGAACGCUGGCGGCGUGCCUAAUACAUGCAAGUCGAGCGAACAGACGAGGAGCUUGCUCCUCUGACGUUAGCGGCGGACGGGUGAGUAACACGUGGAUAACCUACCUAUAAGACUGGGAUAACUUCGGGAAACCGGAGCUAAUACCGGAUAAUAUAUUGAACCGCAUGGUUCAAUAGUGAAAGACGGUUUUGCUGUCACUUAUAGAUGAAUCCGUGCCGCAUUAGCUAGUUGGUAAGGUAACGGCUUACCAAGGCAACGAUGCGUAGCCGACCUGAGGGGGUGAUAGGCCACACUAGAACUUAGCCGCGGUCCAGACUCCUACGGGAGGCAGCAGUAGGGAAUCGUACGCAAUGGUCGAAAGCCUGACGGAGCAGCGCCGAGUGAGUGAUGACGGUCUUCGGAUCGUAAAACUCUGUUAUUAGGGAAGAACAUAUGUGUAAGUAACUGUGCACGUCUUGACGGUACCUAAUCAGAAAGCCACGGCUAACUACGUG
rnacentral:rRNA from 1 species